UGNGCAGAUAUCAGGAGGAACACCGAUGGCGAAGGCAGNUUACUGGGCAGUUACUGACGCUGAGGAGCGAAAGCAUGGGGAGCGAACAGGAUUAGAUACCCUGGUAGUCCAUGCUGUAANCGGUGGGCGCUAGGUGUGGGCUGUGUGUUUGCAGUCUGUGCCGUAGCUAACGCAUUAAGCGCCCCGCCUGGGGAGUACGGCCGCAAGGCUAAAACUCAAAGGAAUUGACGGGGGCCCGCACAAGCGGCGGAGCAUGUGGAUUAAUUCGAUGCAACGCGAAGAACCUUACCUGGGUUUGACAUGCACCAGAUCGGCGUAGAGAUACGUUCUCCCUUGUGGUUGGUGCACAGGUGGUGCAUGGUUGUCGUCAGCUCGUGUCGUGAGAUGUUGGGUUAAGUCCCGCAACGAGCGCAACCCUUGUCUUAUGUUGCCAGCACAUUUUUGGUGGGGACUCAUGAGAAACUGCCGGGGUCAACUCGGAGGAAGGUGGGGAUGACGUCAAAUCAUCAUGCCCUUUAUACCCAGGGCUUCACACAUGCUACAAUGGUCGGUACAACGGGUUGCGACACUGUGAGGUGAAGCUAAUCUCUUAAAGCCGGCCUCAGUUCGGAUUGGGGUCUGCAACUCGACCCCAUGAAGUCGGAGUCGCUAGUAAUCGCAGAUCAGCAACGCUGCGGUGAAUACGUUCCCGGGCCUUGUACACACCGCCCGUCACGUCAUGAAAGUUGGUAACACCCGAAGCCCAUGGCCUAACCACCGCUUGUGUGGUGGGGGGAGU
rnacentral:rRNA from 1 species